rnacentral:rRNA from 1 species
GACGUAGGGCGCGAGCGUUGUCCGGAAUCAUUGGGCGUAAAGCGCGUGUAGGCGGUCCGGUAAGUCCGCUGUGAAAGUCGGGGGCUCAACCCUCGAAUGCCGGUGGAUACUGUCGGGCUAGAGUGCGGAAGAGGCGAGUGGAAUUCCUGGUGUAGCGGUGAAAUGCGCAGAUAUCAGGAGGAACACCAAUUGCGAAGGCAGCUCGCUGGGACGUAACUGACGCUGAGACGCGAAAGCGUGGGGAGCAAACAGG